rnacentral:sRNA from 1 species
AAGAAAAAAAUUUCAUCAGGAUAAAGCCUUUUGUAAAUGAAUUAGAGUAUCUUAUACUACUCAUUUUGUUUAUACAUCUCAUGUUAAAGCUUGUAUAAUUUUGAAUUAUACAUUUUGUGAUUUUGCUGGUACUGAAUACUAGUCUUUAUAAUAAUCUGAUACGUUUAAAAGGUUGCUAUUGAUCUAUUCAUAUUCACAGUAGAUGUGUAAAGUAGUAUAUCAACUACUUUUGUUUUCAUAUAUUGAUUUAUAUUUACAGCAAACAUUUGUAUACCUGCUAUUCACCAGAUCCUGUGCUAGGGAAUUAGUCAUUAUUUGCAUUUUUCAGAUUAAUCUGUCAUUACUUUUAUAGGAUCAUUGUUGCAAUUUCUUUUUCAGGGUAUGGUACCAUUUGUUUUUGUGGGAACAAAGGACAGCAUUGCUAAUGCCACUGUUCUUUUGGAUUAUCACCUGAACUAUUUAAAGGAAGUAGACCAGUUGCGUUUGGAGAGAUUACAAAUUGAUGAGCAGUUGCGACAGAUUG